GAUGAACGCUGGCGGCGUGCCUAAUACAUGCAAGUCGAGCGAACAGACGAGGAUCUUGCUCCUCUGACGUUAGCGGCGGACGGGUGAGUAACACGUGGAUAACCUACCUAUAAGACUGGGAUAACUUCGGGAAACCGGCUCUAAUACCGGAUAAUAUAUUGAACCGCGUGGGUCAAUAGUGAAAGACGGUUUUGCUGUCACUUAUAGAGGGAUCCGCGCCGCCUGUGCUAGUUGGUAAGGUAACGGCCUACCAAGGCGACGAUGCGUAUCCGAGCGGAGAGGGGGAUCGGCCACACUGGAACUGAGACACGGUCAAGACUCCUAAGGGAGGGAGCAGUAGGGAAUCUUCCGCAAUGGGCGAAAGCAUGACGGAGCAACGCCGCGUGAGUGAUGAAGGUCUUCGGAGCGUAAAACUCUGUUAUUAGGGAAGAACAGAUGUGUAAGUAACUAUGCACGUAUUGACGGUACCUAAUCAGAAAGCCCCGGCUAACUACGUG
rnacentral:rRNA from 1 species